AAAAAGAAAAAUAAUAAAAAAAAACUUUAAAUAAUUAUAAUUUAAUCUCAACAAAAUCCUAUUUAUAUACAAGAAGUUAAAUCAAAUUAUAUAUUCAAUCAAUUACUCUAUGUUUCCUAAUACAAUAUGGAUUCUUUAACAACGAUUGUAACUUGUAAGACAACAUUUUUAUUUGUAUAUGAAUUCUCAAACUGCAGUGGUAAGACAAUAGUCACAGGUCACAACACUUGCGUAUAAGGAUAUGUACUGAGCAUGCUCUUUGCAAUUCAAAUGUGCUAAUGCACAUUCAAUUUAGAUUUCAAAAUUAACUCUCAAGAUGUUUUUGGGGGCUUUGCUAAUAUAUAUGAAAACCAACUUCAGUAACGUCCUUGCUCUUGUUGUUGAUACAAU
rnacentral:misc_RNA from 1 species